AUACGGAGGAUGCGAGCGUUAUCCGGAUUUAUUGGGUUUAAAGGGAGCGUAGAUGGGUUGUUAAGUCAGUUGUGAAAGUUUGCGGCUCAACCGUAAAAUUGCAAUUGAUACUGGCAGCCCUGAGUACAGUUGAGGUAGGCGGAAUUCGUGGUGUAGCGGUGAAAUGCUUAGAUAUCACGAAGAACUCCGAUUGCGAAGGCAGCCUACUAAACUGCCACUGACAUUGAUGCUCGAAAGUGUGGGUAUCAAACAGGAUUAGAUACCCUGGUAGUCCACACGGUAAACGAUGAAUACUCGCUGUUUGCGAUAUACAGCAAGCGGCCAAGCGAAAGCGUUAAGUAUUCCACCUGGGGAGCACGCCGGCAACGGUGAAACUCAAAGGAAUUGGCGGGG
rnacentral:rRNA from 1 species